rnacentral:rRNA from 1 species
AGAAUCAACGCUGGCGGCGUGCCUAACACAUGCAAGUCGAACGAGAAAGUGGAGCAAUCCAUGAGUAAAGUGGCGACCGGGUGAGUAACACGUGACUAACCUACCUUCGAGUGGGGGAUAACCCCGGGAAACCGGGCUAAUACCGCAUAACAUCGCAAGAUCAAAGCAGCAAUGCGCUGGAAGAGGGGUCGCGGCUGAUUAGCUAGUUGGCGGGUAACGCCCACCAAGGCGAAGAUCGGUA